rnacentral:piRNA from 1 species
UCAAACGGAACCCCCUUCUUACACGACAGC